CAUGCCGCGUGUAUGAAGAAGGCUUCGGGUUGUAAAGUACUUUCAGUCGUGAGGAAGGUGGUGUUGUUAAUAGCAGCAUCAUUUGACGUUAGCGACAGAAGAAGCACCGGCUAACUCCGUGCCAGCAGCCGCGGUAAUACGGAGGGUGCGAGCGUUAAUCGGAAUUACUGGGCGUAAAGCGCAUGCAGGUGGUGGAUUAAGUCAGAUGUGAAAGCCCGGGGCUCAACCUCGGAACCGCAUUUGAAACUGGUUCACUAGAGUACUGUAGAGGGGGGUAGAAUUUCAGGUGUAGCGGUGAAAUGCGUAGAGAUCUGAAGGAAUACCGGUGGCGAAGGCGGCCCCCUGGACAGAUACUGACACUCAGAUGCGAAAGCGUGGGGAGCAAACAGGAUUAGAUACCCUGGUAGUCCACGCCGUAAACGAUGUCUACUUGGAGGUUGUGGCCUUGAGCCGUGGCUUUCGGAGCUAACGCGUUAAGUAGACCGCCUGGGGAGUACGGUCGCAAGAUUAAAACUCAAAUGAAUUGACGGGGGCCCGCACAAGCGGUGGAGCAUGUGGUUUAAUUCGAUGCAACGCGAAGAACCUUACCUACUCUUGACAUCUACAGGAUCUGCGGAGACGCGGGAGUGCUCGGGAACUGUAGACAG
rnacentral:rRNA from 1 species